GUUGAACGCUGGCGGCAUGCCUUACACAUGCAAGUCGAACGGCAGCAUGGAGAGCUUGCUCUCUGAUGGCGAGUGGCGAACGGGUGAGUAAAGCAUCGGAACGUACCGUGUAGUGGGGGAUAACGUAGCGAAAGUUACGCUAAUACCGCAUACGCACUGAGGUGGAAAGCAGGGGAUCGUAAGACCUUGCGCUAUACGAGCGGCCGAUGUCAGAUUAGCUAGUUGGUAGGGUAAAGGCCUACCAAGGCGACGAUCUGUAGCGGGUCUGAGAGGAUGAUCCGCCACACUGGGACUGAGACACGGCCCAGAAUCCUACGGGAGGCAGCAGUGGGGAAUUUUGGACAAUGGGGGCAACCCUGAUCCAGCCAUGCCGCGUGAGUGAAGAAGGCCUUCGGGUUGUAAAGCUCUUUCGGCCGGGAAGAAAUCGCACAGGCUAAUACCCUGUGUGGAUGACGGUACCGGCAUAAGAAGCACCGGCUAACUACGUGCCAGCCGCCGCAGUAA
rnacentral:rRNA from 1 species